GACGAACGCUGGAGGCGUGCUUAACACAUGCAAGUCGAACGAUGAAAUGGAGCUUGCUCCAUGGAUUAGUGGCGAACGGGUGAGUAACACGUGAAUAACCUGCCCUUAAUUUUGGAAUAACCCAGGGAAACCUGGGCUAAUACCGGAUAAGUAAACCUGUGGCAUCACAUGGUUUUGGAAAGUUUUUCGAUUAAGGAUGGAUUCGCGGCCUAUCAGCUAGUUGGUGGGGUAAUGGCUCACCAAGGCGACGACGGGUAGCCGGCCUGAGAGGGUGAACGGCCACACUGGGACUGAGACACGGCCCAGACUCCUACGGGAGGCAGCAGUGGGGAAUAUUGCGCAAUGGACGAAAGUCUGACGCAGCGACGCCUCGUGAGGGACGAAGGUCUUCGGAUUGUAAACCUCUUUCAGCAGGGACGAAGCGAAAGUGACGGUACCUGCAGAAGAAGCACCGGCUAACUAUGUGCCAGCCGCCGCGGUAA
rnacentral:rRNA from 1 species